UUAUUGCAAAUGUAGUAGAACAAUCAAGGGAUUCCAACUCUAAAUAAAGUAAAUGAUAAUGAGAUGUUUUGGGGUUUUUUGAUUCGGAAGGAAAUAUAGCAAAACUGCUUUAAACUGGUCAGUUGCACUGUGACACAAUCAACGUUUAAGAAAUCACUCUAUAAAUGGCACCCAGGAAUGCAGCGGCAACACAUGUCGUAACAAUAUCCAGACAAAGCCAGAAAGUUUGGAUACUGCUCUGUUGUUCUAAACUGACUGAGGUUUUGCAGACUAACAACAUUCCCCCAUAAUGAUGGUGGUGUCUUUAGAUUGAGAUAAGAUUCAAAUUUACUGAGGGUUAUUUACUGUUGUGUAUAAGGAUCUGUGUGUUAAGGAGAGAAGUGGCUGCUUGGAGGAGAGCAAGCAACUUGGCUGGGCUCACAGCUGAGAAACCUCAGGAGUUCGCAUACCCCUAUAAGGAUCUGAAAAUUCCUACGAUCAUAUGUAUUCUUCUACCACUACUGAACAAGAGCUGUCAAGAGAAGGAAAAGAAAAAAAUUAAGAGCAAAAGCGAUACCUAGGGACCAGUCUCAUUUUAGAAAACAAAGGAAGUCAUAUAUUGUUAAUGGAGUAUAAAUUCAGACAAAUUUUUUGGAAAAUACAUAGCACAUACUAAGUGAAUAACUGCAUUGAAUACACCUACUCCUACCUUUUCUCCAUAACUGGGUCUUUGUUGUUGUUUUUCUCCAUGGUAACUGUUAAGAGGCGGGGUGGGGGGGGGGAGGGA